AUUUUGCAGGUCAAAACAUCCAAAUCUUUCGCUGAAUGGACUCCAUCUUAUUACUCCUCGUCUUUAUUUAUUAUUAGAUGAAUUGUAUACCUUCGUAUUUUUACAGCGAUAAUAUGAAUUACCCUAAACGAUCGAACCGUGCGCAAAACGGAAUCCACCGCAGCUUCUUUCGAUCCUUCGUCCGCUUAUUUCUCUCUCCUAGGAGGAACUACUUCGCGUGACGUGUGGAUUUUCGAGGGCCACAGUCUUCCAGCGGAAGGGUCAAGGGGUGAAAAUCGCGUCGAAUCCUCCGAGGGGGGCUGCGGAUUUUUCUUUUUUUUUUCUUUCUCAGCUAGACGCGAAUCGGGUCGAUCUUGACCGCGGCGACCUUCGAUUUCCUGCCGAUGUGUUGAUAUAGCAGGUGUCUGGUGGUUGACGUUCUUUGGCGAUCUUGCCAGUGACAGUUGUCACAUACCUAUACCGCGUGUAUGAUGUACACAUGAAAUAUGCUACGCCGAAUAGGUGCGUCUGUUUACGACAUUUUCAGUGACGUUGCCACCAAGCCGAAUCCCGACGUCAUACGACGGAAAUAAUGUAUCCGUGUGCAAAAUAGAUAUAUAGCCACGGAGUAGAGGCGGAAUCGCUGCCGCGGGAUUUCCCGUGGUGUUGUUUCUUCAUUUCGUUGAUUCGAAUUUCUUCAAGUUUUUCAAUCCACUCAUCGGGCGAGAAUUUCGUAAUUGCGUGCAACGUAUCAUAAAUGACGGACGCUUCGAUGACAGCUGCGAGACCGGAGCUGCCAAAGGUUGUAGUUCUCCACCUUGUCCCACUAUCAACGGGAUUUUGACGGACAGCGAGUCGCCAGAUCAGAUUUGAUCUCCUCAAGGCCGCAUUAUUUCUUGGACUGGAAAGCUCGUCCUGCAGCGUGUCUCUCCUGAACACCCGAGACUUGCGAGGAAGAGGAGACAGUUUCUUUCUCUUCUUUGUUGCAGGCGAGUGUGCGUUACAGAAUCAUAUUCUACUUUUUUCUGGGUGACCCAGUUUCUCUCUCGAGAUUUGGUCCCACUUCAAAAUUAGAUGUUCAAGGCACCCCCACGUCGUGGAAUGCCGCAAAAGUUGGAGCAAACUGGUUACUCGUCGACACGCCAACGUCGGCAUUUAAUUAAAUUGUUUUAUGAGUCACACAUUCCCACCUAAUUAAUACAAAGUAUAGGAAGACAUUUCGCGGGGAUGUGCCAAGUCGAAGGGAGAGUUUAGGCAUAAUUUUCCAAAAGUGACGCGAAACCCCGCAGAUUGCGUUGAAUAUCCAAAUAAAAACUGAGCGCUGAAGGCAUCGAAUCGUAAACUAUAGAAGAAUUAUGUACCAAGGGACCGAAAAUAAACACCGUGCAGUAAUGGUUUAACCUUCGGGAUUUAGAGAGCAGUGCGUCAUCCGUCAUUUGUUUAAUUUUAACUCGGAUUCUCAUUCAUAUUUCGCAACAGAAUCCGUCCGUUAGUUCCUGCAGUAUUCAGGGUUCAGCCCCCGCACUUUCCUUUCGUUUAUACGCGAUGACUGAGGAGAUAUAUACGAAUGUGCGUACACGGACCUACGUCAUUUUACGCUGACCGGAAGCUGGGAAAACAGUGAACAUUGAACCCGAUUAAUUAUUCGAGACAAACAACUAAUCCGUGCCAGGAAAUACCCCGUGAAAGAUAGCAGACUGAUACGCGAGGGCGGAAACACAGGAGAGUUGAAAUGUUUAAUUUAUUAUGUUUUCGGAAGUAUCACGACCAAAAUUAAUUAGCUCCAAGUACGGAUACGGCGAUCGAUCGACGGAAUGUGGUUGACGGAUCCAACAAUUUGACGAAUCGAACGAGCGGCGUAAUGCGCCGUUGCGAGUGAAUUGCUACUUUAUUCGUAUUCGACAUUUGGGACGGUGAUUCUAGUCAAUUAUCACGGUACAUCUUGUGUUACAAAAUUAGCUAGCUCGGCCACUCUCGCAUUGGCAGUGUAAAAAUAACAGGCAAGGGAAUCCGUUGUUUAUUCAAAGAGAUACGAGGCCUCCGAGAACGAGAUUCUUGUUCGAGAUUACAUCGACGUGCAAGAAAUUUGCUGCUGAGAGAGUAAAUGAUUUAUACCUAAAGUAAUGGCGAUAGCAAAUCUGCUUUUUCGUUGCUUCUUUCGACGUUGUUUUUUAUUUCUUUCCCUCCUUUCAUGUCUUUCAAAUAAGACUAACGUCUCGAAGACGAGGAUGGCCACCGGGCUCGAGAUCGUCGCGUAUACGUAUAUUCUUCGAAAGGUUAGCUAGAAUGGAGCAGACAAAUGCGCGAAAAUCAAUAAGGCCGUCCUUAGCCUAAGCUCAUCUGUAGACACUGAUCCUUCCUAAAUUGAAACUUAUGAGUUUUUCCCUGCAGACCUUCGUAACGGCUUUUCUUAUUUUCUCUUCGGUACCUACGCCAUUCUUCCUGCGCGUUAAGCAGAUCUUGUCUCUCACGUUUUCCCCCCUCCUCCUCUGAGGAUUCUGUCGUCCUGGUAACGGAUAAAGUCGAGGAUUCCUUAACCUUUUACAUCGGACCUGAGUCUUGAUGUACCAAUUUAAGACAAGCGAAACUACCCGAUACAAUCUCCAGUCUCGAGGGCGAUUGUAAAAUUACCUGCAUGACGUUCGAACUGAUAAAGCUUACCGAUGUUUCUAUUCCGAUCUUUCUUUCGAUUUUUUACGAGGAAAUUGUUACGCAGCAGGUCUUGCGUUUCGAGUUUUCACCUCGUCAACUUUUUACGAAAGGAUUGUCGGAACGAAUAAGCAGAAGAAAUGGGGAGGGGAAAAAAUUUGACGCGAUAUUGGCAUGUUUGCAGCUAUACUUUGAGAAAGGGCGCCGAGGCAUGAAACCAACCGGUCCCAAAAUAUUUGUAGAUUCUGAGCUUUGUCCGUCUAGUUUUCUGAACGACAACGCAUUGUGCAUCGAAUGGUCAUACGAGACGCAGAAUCUGAAUACCCCUGAGACGGGCAUUCAGCUGGCUAGUAAUCCAGGCUUCAGAAACUCGGCCAGUAUCCAAAGACCAAAGGACGAGGCAUCGGGCCCACCGAGGACUGCAGCAAAGGACUAAAGUAGUUACGCUCACCUUUCUUCACCGACAAUAAGCGUUGCAGCCGCAAAAUGGAUCGGCUAUUUCACGCCCAUUGCUUUUGUCAAUAGGCAGAUGGUCAAAAAUAAAAGGUCGUAAGUCACGCCUUUCAAAAAGUCACAUUAACUGCCCCUGCAGCUCAUGCCUUUUAUUUAUUAAUUUUUUUUCAUAUAUAUUCUAUCGAGUUUUUGUCAUUUUGUUAUAUACGUAUAUACAAUGUAUUACGUUGAAACCGACGGAAUCUUUCGGAUGUUCGAGGAAUCUUUUUGAAUUUUCAAAAAGUUCGAUCAACUUUUAAAUAUAUAUAAAUGUGUAAGCCCCCGAUGCAGCACUUAUACUUUAUAUUACCGGCCUUUUGUUCAUCUUCGACCGCAUGUUCGGCAACGUUUUUAUUAAGCGUUUAAUUAAAACCCAUCAAUCUUUAUUACCUCACAAACUUUCAUAUUGACUGUGAUUUCAUGACGUCAUUCGGAUCCCCCCCGAGGGGCUAUGAAUACGUUUAUAGUCCGCAGGGCUCCUACGAGAUCCACCCAUCUCCUCUCCCCUCUCCCCUCUCGCUUCGCUUGUCCAAACUCCAAUAUAAAUUUCAGUUUACAUAUAUCAGAAUCCAAAAACCGUCCGCAUCGGCGAAUCACUCGGGGAAUCCAGAUUGCAUGUCCGAUGAUUUUUCGCUAAGAUUAAUGUUAGAAUUUCAGAGUUCAAGACGCUACGUCGCACCGCACGAGACACUUGAUCUCUGACCUCGUGUGUAUCUGAAAAAUCAAUUCGUUACCAAAACCCCAUACGCGGGUAUUAUCCUGGUCGGGUUCUCCUGAUCUCUCCCACGGCUUUCAUAUGUUAAUAUUGCCAAGGGACCAUGUAAUAUUAGUUGCGUACCGCUAAGUUCGGUGUCAACGUAUCGUGAAUAUCAUACCCAACACACAUACACAGAAGCACGCCACACAACGCAUACACAUUUAUUGACGUAUUUAACGUAGAACAUUGCACGAGCUGGCGUAUUGUAUAUCGGUGCGUACAAUCAUGCCCUUACCGAACAUGUGUGGAACGCAUAUAAGCCAGGCUAUUUAAGGCUUACAUCACGUUUGCCAGCGGCCGGGGCUGUGGCUGCGCGAGGGGUUAGACUCGGGUAUGACAUGUAUAUUACAAACUACGUUUAUAUCAAUUAGCGUUGACGUUUCGGGGAGUAAGCGCUAAAAGGGUGCCUUAUUCGCUCCUCCGGUCGGUCGGUCGUUCGUCCGUCGUCAGGACCUCAGCGCAGGAUGUAUCCGUGAAUUUUCACCCCGUCUGAAUAUGAAUUUCAAGAGCCGGUGAACACAUUGUAGCGGAAAAUUGAUCGGCGAAUUUUCUUUGUUUUUUUUUUUUUCCAUACGUUUCAUCGAUACCGUCGUUCCCCCUCUGCGGGUGGAUUUAAAACCGCAACGAGGGUUUCCUUUUUCACGGAAUUUAAAAACGCUAUCGAAUUACCGCGAUGUAUUUACCGAGCUAAGACCGGAUUCAAUCACCGAAACGCGGAGGCGGUAAGAUCGACCCGGCGUAGCUAAGCGAAUUUUUGACUCGACCGAGCGCAUAAUUCGGCAGACGUUUUUAUGUUUUCAUUUGGAAAAGUGCAUUUUCCGUCUGUUUCCGGUUAGCUUGCCAUUCGGCUUUAUUGCACGCUCGGGGAUUCACCCUAUUCGCGACGAGUAUGAGAAAUACACUAGGUACACACGCGCGUUUCUCAUUUGUACUUUUCAGAUAAAUACACGGAGAGUUGAGGAAACGGAUCGGCUAACGAAUACUUGGUCAUAUCUUCCCGUCUUUAACCUUUCAUCACCGGAGGAAAGGAAGAAAGAAGACGACGGCGUAGUGAAAAACUCUUUUAAAUCGUUGACGUUAUACGACGAUUUCUGAUGUCGUUUCUUAUUCGCAAACUGUUUUUGAUCUUUCGCGUCGCGUAUUGAAAGGAACUCCCCGUGCCCUCGUUUGUAUGUUUAGGGCGGAAUUUUUAAGUUUCGAAAGUGAUAAAUCAAAAAAUUUUUCGAACACCUGGGACGUGAUGGUUGACGCGGUGCGUUAUAACUGUUGCGUGGUUUGUAAACUGCAACUAUGAACUUGGCCAUUCCCACUAUACCAGCAGCCUCGACAUAUUUUCAUUAUGCGACGCAACGAUACAUACUUACGCACAUUUACUGUAGGGACGUAUAUACCGAUACCUGUAUU